rnacentral:rRNA from 1 species
GGUUAAGCGACCAAGCGUACACACGGUGGAUGCCCCGCAGUCAGAGGCGAUGAAGGACGUGCUAAUUCGCGAUAAGCGCCGGUAAGGUGAUAUGAACCGUUAUACCGGCGAUUUCCGAAUGGGGAAACCCAGUGAUUCGUCACACUAUCAUUAACUGAAUCCAUAGGCACGAGAAGCAACCCGGGGAACUGGAAACAUCUAAGUACCCCGAGUGAAAAGAAAUCAACCGGAGAUUCCCCAGCAGCGCGAGCGAACGGAGGAGCCCAGAGCCUGAAUCAGCAUGCGUUUAGCGGAAGGUUCGGAAAGGGCGCGCGAUACAGGGUGAUGCCCCUGCACACAAAAAGCGCAUGUGUUGUGAGCUCGAUGAGUAGGCGGGACACGUGGUAUCCUGCCCGAAAUAUGGGGGACCAUCCUCCAAGGCUAAAUACUCCUUGACUACCGAUAGUGAACCAGUACCGUGGAGGGAAAGGCGAAAGAACCCUUGCUUAGGUGGCGGAAAAGAACCUGAAACCGUGUACGUACAGCAGAGUGGGGAGCACAGGCUGGCCCCGUGACUGCGUACCUUUGUAUAAUGGGUCAGCGACUUAUAUUCUGUAGCAAGGUUAACCGUAUAGGGAGCCGGAGGGAAACCGAGUCUUAACCGGGCGUUAAGUUGCAGGGUAUAGACCCGAAACCCGGUGAUCUACCAUGGGCAGGUUGAAGGUUGGGUAACACUAACUGGAGUGACCGAACCGUGAAAAUGUUGAAAAUUAGCGAUUUUCACCGUGGUCAGUGAAAGGCCAAUCAAACCGGGAGAUAGCUGGUUCUCCCCGAAAGCGCAGGGUAGCGCUCGUGAAUUCACUUCUCCCGGGGUAGAGCACUGUUUCGGCUAGGGGGCCAUCCCGGCUACCAACCCGAUGCAAACUGCGAAUACCGGAGAAUGUUAUCACGGAGACACACACGGCGGGUGCUAACGUCCGUCGAAGAGGGAAACAACCCAGACCGCCAGCUAAGGUCCCAAAGUCAUGGCUAAGUGGGAACGAUGUGGAAGCGCCCACAUGUCGAUGUUGGCUUAGGCCAGCCAUCAUUUAAAGAAAGCGCAAUAGCUCACUGGUCGAGUCGGCCUGCGCGGAAGAUGUAACGGCCAAACCAUGCACCGAAGCUGCGGCAGCGACGCGAUGCGUUGUUGCAGGGAGCUGCCCUGUAAGCCCUGAAGGUGUGUCGCGAGGCAUGCUGGAGGUAUCAGAAGUGCGAAUGCUGACAAGUAACGAUAAAGUGGUGAAAAGCCUGCUCGCCGGAAGACCAAGGGUUCCCGUCCAACGUUAAUCGGGGCAGGUGAGCUCGACCCCUAAGGCGAGGCCGUGAAAGUAGUCGAUGGGAAACAGGUUAAUAUUCCUGUACUCGCAAGCGCUUCUCGCGAAGGGGGACGGAGAAGGCUAUGUUGGCCGGGCGUGACGGUUGUCCCGGUUUAAGCGUGUAGGUGUGUGUUCCGUGCAAAUCCGGUUCACUUUAACACUGAGGCGUGAUGACGAGGCACUACGGUGCUGAAGCAACAAAUGCCCUGGCCUGAAAAGCCUCUGCUCAGGUAACAUCAAAUCAAAACCCCAAACCGACACAGGUGGCCGGUAGAGAAUACCAAGGCGCUUUGAGAGAACUCUCGGUGAAGGAAUUCAGGGCAAAAUGGUGCCGUAACUUCGGGAGAAGGCACGCUGACAUGUAGGUGAAGUGAUUUACUCACGGAGCUGAAGUCAGUCGAAGAUACCAGCUGGCUGCAACUGUUUAUUAAAAACACAGCACUGUGCAAACACCAGAAAGUGGACGUAUACGGUGUGACGCCUGCCCGGUGCCGGAAGGUUAAUUGAUGGGGGUCAGCGCAAGCGAAGCUCCUGAUCGAAGCCCCGGUAAACGGCGGCCGUAACUAUAACGGUCCUAAGGUAUGAAAUCUGUCGGGUAAGUUCCGACCGCACGAAUGGCGUAAUGAUGGCCGUAGCCGUCUCCACCCGAGUAAUUGUGCGAAAUUCGAACUCGCUGUGAAGAUGCAGUGUACCCGCGGCAAGACGGAAAGACCCCGUGAACUUUACUAUAGCUUGACACUGAACAUUGAGCCUGAUGUGUAGGAUAGGUGGGAGGCUUUGAAGUGUGGACGCCAGUCUGCAUGGAGCCGACCUUGAAAUACCACCCUUUAACACGUUUGAUGUCUUAACGUGGACCCGUUACCCGGGUUGCGAUUGCGUCUGGUGGGUAGUUUGAUUGAAGCGGCCCUCCCUAAAGAGUAACGGUAAAGGAGGAGCACGAAGGUUGGCUAACUCGUCGGACAUCAGGAGGUUAGUGCAAUGGCAUAAGCCAGCUUGACUGCGAGCAACGGCGCGAUAUGCGAAAGUUAUAUCAUAGUGAUCCGGUGGUUCUGAAAUGGAAGGGCCACCGCUCUCAACGGAUAAAAGGUACCCGGGGAUAACAGUAGCCGAUACCGCCCAAGAGUUCAUAUCGACGGCGGUGUUUGGCACCCUCCCGAUGUCGGCUCAUCACAUCCCCGGGCUGAAGUAGUGUCCCAUGCUGCGCGGCUGUUCGCCAUUUAAAGUGGUACGCGAGCUGGGUUUAGAACGUCGUGAGACAGCCUGGUCCCUAUUCGCCGUGGGGCGCUGGAGAACUGAGGGGGGCUGUUCCUGCAAGUACGAGAGGACCGGAGUGGACGUCACUGGUGUUCGGGCUGUCAUGCCAAUGGCACUGCCCGGUAGCUGUCGCGGAAGAGAUAAGUGCUGAAAGCAUCUACACGAAAUCCUUGCCCCGAGAUGAGUUCUCCCUGAGACUUAGAGUCUCCUGAAGUGAACGCUGAAGACGACGACGAUAGGCCGGGUGCGUAAGCGCAGCGAUGCGUUGAGCCAACCGGUACUAAUGAACCGUGAGGCUUAACCUU